rnacentral:rRNA from 1 species
AUUGAACGCUGGCGGCAUGCUUUACACAUGCAAGUCGAACGGUAACAGGCCUUCGGGCGCUGACGAGUGGCGAACGGGUGAGUAAUGCAUCGGAACGUGCCCAGUCGUGGGGGAUAACGCAGCGAAAGCUGUGCUAAUACCGCAUACGAUCUAUGGAUGAAAGCGGGGGACCGUAAGGCCUCGCGCGAUUGGAGCGGCCGAUGUCAGAUUAGGUAGUUGGUGGGGUAAAGGCUCCCCAAGCCAACGAUCUGUAGCUGGUCUGAGAGGACGACCAGCCACACUGGAACUGAGACACGGUCCAGACUCCUACGGGAGGCAGCAGUGGGGAAUUUUGGACAAUGGGCGCAAGCCUGAUCCAGCAAUGCCGCGUGCAGGAAGAAGGCCUUCGGGUUGUAAACUGCUUUUGUACGGAACGAAACGGCGAGCUCUAAUACAGUUUGCUAAUGACGGUACCGUAAGAAUAAGCACCGGCUAACUACGUGCCAGCCGCCGCGGUAAAAC